rnacentral:lncRNA from 1 species
GGUUUUCAUAAGUAACUUUCAAUCCUUUUUGGAGCAAAGCAGAAGUUAUUUGGUAAAUUUAUUAAUGUAAAUAUUCUUUUAUUCUCUUUUUUUUCUGUUCCUUCUCCAUUUUUGUAGUUCAACACUUUUCAAAUUAGUCUUAAUUAUUUGAUCUGACCAUUGCCAUAACCUGUAAUUGGAUAAAAAUGUCUAAGUACUGGUCUCGGUUUGACACUUAGAAGCAGUAACCUCAGAAUGUUCCUUAACUCUACUUAAUGAAAAGAGAACUGUCCUUAUAAUGAGGACAAAGGGAUAAAUAAAUAAAAUCAUAAAUAUGAAAAGUCUUAACAUGAUACCUGAAUCAUACUGUAUCCUUAAUAAAUGCUCUUUGAUUCGUGAAUUAUAAAAUAUGAUUUUUUCCAUCCUGACCUAAUAUUUGUCAUACGUUUAGCAAUGACAAUCAUGCCUUACAGUGUAAGAUUCUUGGGAACCUUCUUUCUGGCUUAAACAUUUCACCAGGGUCCCAACUGUGAAGUCAUUAAUCAAAUAGGUAUGCAAAAAAUUUUAGAUGUGGACAAAUCCUUUCCUUCUUGAGUAAAUGAAGCAUUCUAAAUAGCCGUGUCUAUUUUGUCUUUUUAUUAUGCAUUUCAAAGAAGGCAUGAGUGGGUUUUCUCUGGAAUGCCCGGUGAGCCUUCAUUGCUGAAAUUGGGGUGAUACCCAUUUUUCUCCAACCAACUCUGACAAUGCUUAAUGGGAGUGAGAGGAAGUGAUUGGUCUUAAGAGGAAAUGCAAUGAACAAUUUUCUUUCUCUCGGUCAGCUAUGACAGCAUAUAGAAAGAACUUGAGUUUCAAAGGCUGUGACUGCUGCAGGAAACUCUAGAACCUGUGGCGUUCAAGUAGGAUAACUGUCUCCCUCCAAAGCAUUUUGGUAAUCUCCUCCUCGCCCCCACCCCCUCUGAUUUAUGACUGUAUCUUUUGACCUUCUUUCUUUCUUCAUAAAAAGCACUAAGUUGCCAUUUAUAUAGCAGAGGACAGCAGAUAAAUGUUAAAAUUUACUGUAGAUCCUCACUGGGGAAUGGGCUUACAGAUCUCUCAGGCACCAAGUGUCACAAAAGCAUGUGAGUUUUGAUAUCCUUCAGUCAUGUGAGGAGUAAUCAUAAAAGGACAAAGUCCUAAAAAAAAUUAAACUUUCCAUAGACAGAGCA